rnacentral:tRNA from 1 species
GGAGAGGUGACCGAGCUGGCCGAUGGUGCUCGCCUGCUAAGCGAGUGUGGGGUCAAAAGCCCCACCGCGGGUUCAAAUCCCGCCCUCUCCGCCA